UCUGGAGCUCCAUCACGUUCUAUUUGUCUCCUCCCUGUAGGUUUAAUUUCGAAGACGAAACGCCGACAACCAACUUUGACACAUUCCCAGCAGCCAUUCUCACCGUCUUCCAGAUCCUAACCGGGGAGGACUGGAACGCAGUCAUGUACCACGGGAUCGAAUCACAGGGAGGCGUUCACGGGGGAAUGUUCUCCUCCAUUUAUUUCAUUGUUCUCACUCUCUUUGGAAACUACACACUCCUCAACGUGUUCUUGGCCAUCGCUGUUGAUAACCUUGCAAAUGCCCAGGAACUUACUAAGGUACAGUAUUAUUUAUUAGGUUAGAUUAUUACAUAUGCUGGCUUCAUAGCUGCUUACAGUUAGAGAUAGAA